AGUGUUUCUACCUCCUUGUGCCUCCUCACGGAUGCUUCCUGGUGUGGGGUUUCUUGACGGGUGUGCCCUCCCCGCUGCUUGGGAACGUACAGACAGGAUCUGGGGCACUGCAAGAGAGAACACAUUGACCUUAAACCAUCAUACGCCUAAGGAUCAGAAGCCCAAGAAUCAGAGUCCGAAACUGCUCAGAGAGAUUUCAUUUUCCUUACAAGAUGAAGAUCUAUUCACCAAGAAGAGUCUGUUAUUCAACUGGACAGAGAACUCCUCUCCUGGAUGGCAAUAAGCUGAAGGAAGAUGUUGAAUGAAUAACCCAGGCCAAAGCUAUCAGCAGGUUUCUGUCAAAUAAAUAGAUCAUCCUUCGUACCCCAGAAAGCUGUCAGGCUCAAUACUUUGCAACCAUCUGUGCAUCCUUCUUGCCUUUUCUUCAUCCUCCUGCAUGAGCAGGGCUGAUGACCAUAUUUUGCUUCCAAUUGGAACUGACUACUGUGUAUGAAAUGAGGUAAGCAUAUUAUCUUUCCAUAUACAUAACCAAUUACCAA